GAGUUGAUCGUGGCUCAGAUUGAACGCUGGCGGCAUGCCUUACACAUGCAAGUCGAACGGCAGCAUGAUCUAGCUUGCUAGAUUGAUGGCGAGUGGCGAACGGGUGAGUAAUACAUCGGAACGUGCCCUGUAGUGGGGGAUAACUAGUCGAAAGAUUAGCUAAUACCGCAUACGACCUGAGGGUGAAAGUGGGGGACCGCAAGGCCUCAUGCUAUAGGAGCGGCCGAUGUCUGAUUAGCUAGUUGGUGGGGUAAAGGCCCACCAAGGCGACGAUCAGUAGCUGGUCUGAGAGGACGAUCAGCCACACUGGGACUGAGACACGGCCCAGACUCCUACGGGAGGCAGCAGUGGGGAAUUUUGGACAAUGGGCGAAAGCCUGAUCCAGCAAUGCCGCGUGUGUG
rnacentral:rRNA from 1 species